ensembl:lncRNA
GUAGUGCGCGGGCUCCUUUUCUCUAUGUGAAGUGUCCUGAUUAACGUUACCUUAGAGGAGAAGUUAAUGUUCUGUUACACGCUGUGCAAACGUAGGAAAGGUUUAUUUCUUACUCUUAGCUCCUGGCUGAUGAAGUGCACAAGGUACAGUUUUAACUUUAUUUGGUGUGGUAAACUUUGAGAAACUUUUAAGUGUUUGUUUAUCAAUUUACUCAAAAGCUGUUAGCUAACGUUUAGUGUGUCGUUAGCAUAGGUUUUGAAUAACAGCGAUGACAAUUUCAUUUGCUAAUGUUGUUAUGCAUAGUGUGUGUAAUUAAUUUAGUUCACAUUGCACUUAAGGGAGUUGUAAUUAAAAACAAUUACUAUUAUUCAGGCAUGCUACAGUACAGUAAAACAAUGUUAUUAUAUUAGCUUGUAUAUUAGAAUGUGAUUUUAUUAUUACACUAUUUAUGGUGUAGGCUAAUUAGAUUGUUGUUAGAAUUGGGUCAAGAGAGCCACUGGAAGUUCUCAUUUUUAACCCUUAAAUGGAUCGAAUUGACUCAUUUCAAAAUGUUACUCAAGGAAAUGAUACAAGGUUAACAUUUUUCAACCUGAUACUCCAUGGCCUUGGCUUAUUUUCUGAGAACAACAUGUAAAAUAAAUAAAAUAGUACACAGGCUACAUUUCGCCCACACGUCCAUCAUACGAUGUUCAGGUCAAUUUGAUGUGCAUACACACAUCGUACAGUCUGGGAUAGGAACUUCUCAAAAAAAGCUGUUGGGACAGUCACCUCAGCUACUAACUGUAAAGAACGGGCGAGUCCAUUCCUCCCACUUUGUUUUCACCGCCCACAAUACCCUGUUUUCCUACAUACCCAAAGCAAAAAUUUGAUGUUCAUAAGCAAAAUGAGCAAAAAUAACUUUACGGUGGCCAGUUGCAAUCUUCUUCAAUAUCCUGGAUGUCUCAGCCUACAACACAUUGACAAUAUGGAUGGCAACCAUCCAGACUGGAACCAAAGGAAGCUCCAAAGACAUAGUUGUACCCAGGUCCCCAGCUUUUCUAGCCAUAGUGAGGAGGAAGGUGGAGGCUCCUGGUGUCCCACCUGCACAACCCACACAACCUCCAGUGCCUGACAUUUCCUGUUGUUGUUGUCUGUGUGUGUGCGUGUGUGUGUGUGUGUUUUACGAGAAGUGGUUGAAAACGAAUUCCUGAACGAAUAAAGUCUUGACAUCCUAGUUUGCAGCCGGUGGCAUCAAGAGGAGGCGCUGCAAGGUCAACCAUCUCAUCAUCGGUGCACUCCAGUGAUAAUCCAGGUGGGACAAGCAACAUCAAAACACUUUUUGGAAACCACCACACCUGCCAUGGACAGGGGCCUUUUCCUGAUAGUCAGAUCCAACUUGACAUGUUUUAUUUAGUAGUCUUCCUUGAUGUUUGGCCUUUCCAUGAAGGAUUCCAAGUUGCAGUCCUUUUCAAAGCAAUUUACUAACAGAUUGUUUAAUCCUCUUAAAACAAUGAAAAUAUUAUUUU